rnacentral:rRNA from 1 species
UACGUAGGGCGCAAGCGUUAUCCGGAAUUAUUGGGCGUAAAGCGCGCGUAGGCGGCUACUUAAGUCGGAUGUGAAAGCCCUUGGCUCAACUGAGGAAGUGCACCCGAAACUGAGUGGCUUGAGUACUAAAGAGGGUCGCGGAAUUCCCGGUGUAGAGGUGAAAUUCGUAGAUAUCGGGAGGAACACCGGUGGCGAAGGCGGCGACCUGGGUAGAUACUGACGCUGAGGCGCGAAAGCGUGGGGAGCAAACAGG